rnacentral:rRNA from 1 species
UUUCCCCCGGGGGGCCCCGGGCCCGUCCCGCCGCCCCCGCCCGCCUACGGGAGGCAGCAGUGGGGAAUAUUGCGCAAUGGGCGAAAGCCUGACGCAGCGACGCCGCGUGAGGGACGAAGGCCUUCGGGUUGUAAACCUCUUUCAGCAGGGACGAAGCGAAAGUGAUAGCGA